rnacentral:misc_RNA from 1 species
UAUCCGUAGGUGAACCUGCGGAUGGAUCAUUAAACAAAUCCACGUAUCAACCAACCGCGAACCUGUUCUAGUCUUGAAAGUCGCUUUUUAAGCGUACAGCUUUGAGGGGAGCUCUCAUUACGAUCUCCUCACUAUGGGGCUGUACAUUGAAGGGCGGCUCUUUAACACUAUUGUACCAUUUUUACCUAAUUCUUUUUCUUUGUCGCGGCAGAAAUGCGGACUUUCUUAAUUAAGAAAUUUUUUGUACAACUCUUAACAAUGGAUACCUAGGCUCUC